rnacentral:rRNA from 1 species
CUGGCGGCGUGCUUAACACAUGCAAGUCGAACGAAGCACUUUUAGCGGACUGGAGAGCUUGCUCAAAGGAAAGAUAAAAGUGACUGAGUGGCGGACGGGUGAGUAACGCGUGGGUAACCUGCCUCAUACAGGGGGAUAACAGUUAGAAAUGACUGCUAAUACCGCAUAAGCGCACAGCAUCGCAUGAUGCAGUGUGAAAAACUCCGGUGGUAUGAGAUGGACCCGCGUCUGAUUAGCUAGUUGGUGAGGUAACGGCUCACCAAGGCGACGAUCAGUAGCCGACCUGAGAGGGUGACCGGCCACAUUGGGACUGAGACACGGCCCAGACUCCUACGGGAGGCAGCAGUGGGGAAUAUUGCACAAUGGGGGAAACCCUGAUGCAGCGACGCCGCGUGAGUGAAGAAGUAUUUCGGUAUGUAAAGCUCUAUCAGCAGGGAAGAUAAUGACGGUACCUGACUAAGAAGCCCCGGCUAACUACGUG